rnacentral:rRNA from 1 species
GAGGAAAGUUGCAAAGAACUUUGAAGAGAGAGUUCAAGAGGGCGUGAAACCGCUGGGAAGGAAACGGAUAGAGUUGACGAAACACGGUGGCAUUCAGCCAAUACGGCAACGAUGCCCGUAUUUUUUCACCUUUUUUAGGGUGCGGAAGUACAGGUUGCGUCGGGGCUUAUUUUGGUGUGCUUGCCGCCGGUAGGCGCUGAGAAGUUCGCUGUGGUACGCUGACGUUUAUGCCAGAGAGGACCACGCUCAUCUGAGCGUGGAAACCUCUGGUGGCUGAGGCGUGUCCGCGGUGAGCACUGUUUCGCAGUGCAUUGGCCCGUCUGUGGUGCGGCGGUUGCCGUGUGGCUGGUGUGGCCGUUGGGCGGUCGCUUGCGACUUGCCUAUGGCUGAUGCUGGUUCGCGGUGAUGCGGUUGCGCUUGGCCGAUGCGUCUCGGUGUAAAAGUUGACCACCUAUCCGACCCGUCUUGAAACACGGACCAAGGAGUCUAGCAUAUGCGCGAGUCAUUGGGUGGUAAACCUAAAGGCGAAAUGAAAGUAAAGGUUGCUUUAAUGCAGCUGAUAUGGGAUCCGUAUGGUUUCGGCCGUGCGGCGCACCAUAGCCCCGUCCUUAUUGCUUGCAAUAGGGCGGAGGUAGAGCGCAUACGCUGGUACCCGAAAGAUGGUGAACUAUGCCUGAGCAGGAUGAAGCCAGAGGAAACUCUGGUGGAGGUCCGAAGCGGUUCUGACGUGCAAAUCGAUCGUCUGACUUGGGUAUAGGGGCGAAAGACUAAUCGAACCAUCUAGUAGCUGGUUC